rnacentral:rRNA from 1 species
GUUGGAUAACUGAGGUAAUUCUUGAGCUAAUACACGCUAUUUAUACCACAUUAGUGGUGCGUUUAUUUGAUUAAACCAUUAUAACGGUUGACUCAAAAUAUCCUUGCUGAUUUUGUUACUAAAACAUACCGUAUGUGUAUCUGGUUUAUCAACUUUCGAUGGUAGGGUAUUGGCCUACCAUGGUUGUGACGGAUAACGGAGAAUUAGGGUUCGACUCCGGAGAGGGAGCCUGAGAAACGGCUACCACAUCCAAGGAAGGCAGCAGGCGCGAAAAUUACCCAAUUUUAGUUCAAAGAGGUAGUGACGAAAAAUGACAACCAAAUAUUAUUAUUAAUAUUUGGAUUGAAAAUCUUCAAGUUUAAAUAACUUGUUGGUAAAGGAAAGGGCAAGUCUGGUGCCAGCAGCCGCGGUAAUACCAGCUUUCCAAGUGCAUAAAAUGAUUGUUGUGGUUAAAAAGCUCGUAGUUGGAUUAUAAAGAUUGUAUAAUGAGCAUCUUGGAUGUUUUAAUUUCAUUAUCAUCUUAUUAUUUUUAUUAUUUUUCUUUAAAAAAAAAUAAUAAACUGUUACUUUGAAUAAAUCAGAGGGUUUAAACCAGGCAUUUAUAUGCUUGUAUGGUCUAGCAUGGAAUAACACUAUAGAAAAAGUUAGUGUGGUUUCACUAAUCUUUUUCAUGAUUAAUAGGAACAAACGGGGGCAUUCGUAUCGCUACGUUAGAGGUGAAAUUCUUGGACCGUAGCGAGACGUCCUACUGCGAAAGCAUUUGCCAAGAAUGUUUUCAUUAAUCAAGAACGAAAGUUAGAGGUUCGAAGGCGAUCAGAUACCGCCCUAGUUCUAACCGUAAACUAUGCCUACUAGGUGUAUGAAUUAUUAGUUAUAAUAAUUUAUGCACCUUCUCGGAAACGAAAGUCUUUCGGUUCCGGGGGAAGUAUGGUUGCAAAGCUGAAACUUAAAGGAAUUGACGGAAGGGCACCACCAGGAGUGGAGCCUGCGGCUUAAUUUGACUCAACACGGGAAAACUCACCCGGGCCGGACACUAUAAGGAUUGACAGAUUGAUAGCUCUUUCAUGAUUUAGUGGUUGGUGGUGCAUGGCCGUUCUUAGUUCGUGGAUAUGAUUUGUCUGGUUGAUUCCGAUAACGAGCGAGACUUUUAUGUUAUAUUAAAUAAUAUUAUUAUUAAAUUUUAUGGUUUUAUAUAAUAUUUUAUUUUAAUAACAGAUUAAUAGUGUUUAACUAUUUGAGAGAGAGCAAUAACAGGUCUGUGA